UACGUAGGGUGCAAGCGUUGUCCGGAAUUAUUGGGCGUAAAGCGCUUGUAGGCGGUUUGUCGAGUCUGCUGUGAAAUUUCGGGGCUCAACCCCGAACUUGCAGUGGGUACGGGCAGACUAGAGUGUGGUAGGGGAGACUGGAAUUCCUGGUGUAGCGGUGAAAUGCGCAGAUAUCAGGAGGAACACCGGUGGCGAAGGCAGGUCUCUGGGCCACUACUGACGCUGAGAAGCGAAAGCAUGGGGAGCGAACAGG
rnacentral:rRNA from 1 species